rnacentral:rRNA from 1 species
GACGAACGCUGGCGGCGCGCCUAACACAUGCAAGUCGAACGAGAGAUGAGGAGCUUGCUCUUCAAAUCGAGUGGCGAACGGGUGAGUAACGCGUGAGGAACCUGCCUCAAAGAGGGGGACAACAGUUGGAAACGACUGCUAAUACCGCAUAAGCCCACGGCUCGGCAUCGAGCAGGGGGAAAAGGAGCAAUCCGCUUUGAGAUGGCCUCGCGUCCGAUUAGCUAGUUGGUGAGGUAAUGGCCCACCAAGGCGACGAUCGGUAGCCGGACUGAGAGGUUGAACGGCCACAUUGGGACUGAGACACGGCCCAGACUCCUACGGGAGGCAGCAGUGGGGAAUAUUGCACAAUGGGGGAAACCCUGAUGCAGCGACGCCGCGUGGAGGAAGAAGGUCUUCGGAUUGUAAACUCCUGU